rnacentral:rRNA from 1 species
AACGAACGCUGGCGGCAUGCCUAACACAUGCCAGUCGAACGAGACCUUCGGGUCUAGUGGCGCACGGGUGCGUAACGCGUGGGAACCUGCCUUUAGGUUCGGAAUAACUCAGAGAAAUUUGAGCUAAUACCGGAUGAUGUCUUCGGACCAAAGAUUUAUCGCCUUUCGAUGGGCCCGCGUUGGAUUAGCUCGUUGGUGGGGUAAAGGCCUACCAAGGCGACGAUCCAUAGCUGGUCUGAGAGGAUGAUCAGCCACACUGGGACUGGGACACGGCCCAGACUCCUACGGGAGGCAGCAGUGGGGAAUAUUGGACAAUGGGCGAAAGCCUGAUCCAGCAAUGCCGCGUGAGUGAUGAAGGCCUUAGGGUUGUAAAGCUCUUUUACCCGAGAUGAUAAUGACAGUAUCGGGAGAAUAAGCUCCGGCUAACUCCGUG